AAUAUGGAACUUUGUGGGAGAGAAAAAAGUUUGAGAAAAUAUACAAUGCGAGAUUUAAGGUAGAUUUUGUGUAGAUUUAGAAAAUAUAUUAAUUGAAAUAGGGAAGUUUCCAUAUUUUCGUCAUUUGACUAUAAUAUGUGUCUUACGUUGAGUAGAACACUGCAUAAUGGGUGUGAAAUUUAUUAUUUCCUAGGCAUAACAUAAAGUAAUAGCUAGAACAGGUUAUAACACACAAAUAAGAUAAAGUAAAUCGCAGAGUUAUUUGUAUAAGUUGUAAUCAAGCUUUAAGUACACUAACGACAUCUUGCCAGAUUAAUACCAAAAGAAUUAUAUUUGUGUAUAGUACUUAGUAUCAGAUUUCUAAACUAAAUAGAUGACCGAAUGAGUAUUUUAUCCUCAUUUAGGAUUUAAAAAAAAUAUGAUUCCACUAUUUAAGAAAAAAAAUUAAACAUAUAAAUAGUCAUACUAAUGUUUAUAAUAGUUUCAUAAUUUUUUGAAAUUUUAAAACUUAAAAUACUAUUUUCUAUUACAAAAAAGUAAAAUAUGUCCAAAAGUGGUCUAAAGAUCAAAAGUCUUAUUGAGACAAAUAAAAGUUGAGAGUAUCUCAUUUUGUCAAUUUUCCCAUGUUUAUAUUACUUAACUUUUAAACACACAGCUAAAAUAUAUGUUUUCGGGUUAUAGGAUCAAAUGAUUAAUAGAAGUAAGCUUUGUUUAUAAUCACACUUAUGGUGUCAAAUGGUUGGCUGUGAAGUGUCUUCUCAUAAAAUGGAAGAUUUACAUUUCUAGCUUAUAACAAAACAACCCAACCCAACCAGUAGCAUACGGUAAAUGUUUAUUUCACAUUAAAAAGCCUCAAAACUUUAAUAUUUGGCAGAAUCUAACGUUUCCCGGUUCAUAAGUGUGACGUUUAAAAAUUUUCUUAUCUUUUACCAACCACUGAGAAAGAAAAAUUAGCAUAAAGACACUAUAUUCUUUAAUUUUUGUAACUUUUAAUCUUUUGCACUUUGUAGAUGCGAAUAUGUGGAGGACUUCUCACUUCUCACAGGCACAUACAUGAUAUCGAACAAGUUUUAGUUGUGUCCUAACGUCCUUUGUGGUCCUUAGGCAAGUAGUUCGGAUGAGAGUUAGGUCCAUCGAUUUAGGUCGUAUCAAUUAUUGUUAUAAUUUUUUUAAAAAUGUAAGGACAGUCGAAAGUUAUUCGACCAAAUUGUAUAGAUCCAGCACAUGUUCAGCAAUUAAUAAAUACUAACUAGAGUUUUGAUGGAUUUAUUUUCUAUAUUUUAGUUUUUUGUUAAGUGUAUUUUCUCAAAUGUAAUAAAUGUAUUGUUAUUGUCUAAUUGAAACAUCUUUAUUGAAGUAUAUUGAACAAUAUAAGAUGUUUUGUGUUUCAUUUCAUUUAUAAUUUGAUCAUAUGUUUUUUGAUCUUCUAAUGCUUUGUUAUCUUGGUUAUUCUUAAAAAAAUUAUUUUUAGUAUUUAUGUGUCUCCUUUAAUCACAUUUAAACUAAAUAUUGUUUUUCGUGUUGGUAUUAACUAAAUUUUUUUGCUUCAAAAUUUUUGAAGAUGAGUUAUAAAUUUAAAUAAAUUUGAUUUAAUAUUUUAAGAGUUUAUAUAUUUAGAAGAGAAAAUUAUAAUGUUUUUAAUUAAACUGAAAGUUGAAUAGAGUUAACUUAUAUCUUCGCUGGAAAUUUUUAUUUAUUUAGAAUUAUGUUUUUGAGAAGUAGUAUAAUACAUACAUGCAAAGAGUAAUAAGUUUGUAGGUAUAAUAUGGAGCCUUUUCCAUUUUGUUACCCUUUUUUUUCCUCUUCAACGAGAGUUUAGGGGAUUUGUAAAGCUUUUUUUUUUGAAACAUAAACAGUAUGUAAAUUUUCGUAACACUAAUCAAUGCUUAUAUUUGUUUUAUUUGUUUGGUUAGUAGCAAUCCUCAAUUCACAUUGUUGCAGUUCGAGCAUGAUUAAAAGUGCAAAUGGUUAUUUCUGAACUUAUCAAUAGAAGAGUGUUUUAAAAAUAUAUAAAUUUGAUCUAUUUUUAUAAAUAUGUACAUUUCUUCUAUUUUAUACGUAAUAUUAUUACAGAAAAAGAUAAACUUUUAUAUUCUAAUAUCUGUAGUAUGCUAUCCGGUUUAAAAUUUGGAAUUUUAAGUUUGAUAAUACUUUUACUUCAUAUAUUAAUAAAAAAAUAAAAAUAGCUUUAUCUAUGAAGUUUUCUGAACCCAUUACAGUAGAAACUCUAUGAGUUAAUAUUCGAUAAAUUAAUAAACGUAAAAAAAUUAAUAAACUCCAUCAAUUCUGAAUUGGGUCAAUAUAAAAUAUGACACAAUUCGAUAAAUUAAUAAAAUAAUAAAUUCUUGAAUUUUUUGUGUAAAUAUAUAUUCCCAAUAAAAACAUAAAUUAAUAACCGGUGCAUAUAAAUUUAUAUAAAUAUAAUAAUAUAUUGUAUAGUUUGCCUGUAUUUUAUUCAUAGUGAAGUUUAUCUUUAAACUUUAUAAGUAUUUAAAAAUAUUUAAAUGUUAUUUUGUCAUUUUAUACUUAAAAUGCAUAUACAUUUAUGGUAAAUAUUUUCUAUACACCUUAUAGUUGAACAAUAGUAACAUAAAAAGUUUUAUCUAUAACAAUUAAUCAACCAUUCAUAUAUCUUAAAAUCAAAUACCUUUUUAAACAGAAAAUAUAUUCUUCUAAAUUUUUUUUUUUUGUAAAUUAAUAACUCGAAGAGAAAGAUCUAAACAUCGAGAUCAAUAUUGUUGUAAUGUGAUCCAAGUUAAUGAUCCGCUCUGCUUUUUUUAUUCAUCUCAUCGUCGGCAAUAAAAUAAACGACACAAAUAGAGUGUAAUGUAAAUAGGUGCAGAUCACAAUAUAAGACGUAAUAGUCUUUUAUGUAUUAAAAAUUUUAAAACCUAACUUUAUAAUUACGAAAACACAACACAUGCUUGGGAGGAAAUACACUAACUUCACAAGUUAUUAUUCAUUAUAUAUAAAAAAAUGUAAGAACAGAGAAUUCAAAAAUAGUUUGGAUAAAGUUGUGCUAGACUCCCUCGUCAUUCUCGUCCUCGAUGUUGCAGCUAUUGUUGCAGCUCCAGUCACACUUCAAGGUAAUGGGGAACGCGUGUUGUGUUGCUCCUCGUGACAAAAUGGUCCUCCUGCCUAACUCAUCAUCAGCUGCUGAGAGGAGGCAUUCUCCUACUUGAAGUUUCCGCUGGGAUAAUAAUAAUAGAGGCCGUGUAGCUGGUGAAGAAGCCUCUCUCAGUUGGUUGUCUGAUGGGAUUAGCCGGAACGAUGUGUCUGACAUCAAAUCUGAUUUUUUAUCAUCUCAAGGUUCCUCUUUGGACAGCUUUCGGACACAGACGAUGCAGAAGUCUCCGGCCUCAGAUUUAUCUUUUUCAAGAAAUUCUUCCAUGGAUACAGUCUUUGAGCAGAAAGAAAAUGAUUCAAUAGAAUCUGCAGCACCUUCAUACCCAUCUCCUGCACAAUUGUCUCUUUCACUUGCUUUACAACCAUCUUCUUUCCCAACGUCACCACUUCCCUCCCAGAUCUACUAUCACCCUGCAAGUUCAUCGACACUUAAUCCAACACAGCAAGUCUCCGAUGGUAAGAUCUGUGGAAUGAACUCACUUAGCAGAAGCUCAGCAACUGAAGAAGAAGAAAAGGGAACUCCUUUUAGAGUAAUUCAUAUACUACCACAGUAAAUGAAAAAUAAUGUGAUCCAACCAAAGAACGUCAUUUUGUUACAGCUCCCACUUGCAUCAACAUAACUCAAAAGCAGAGUCUUGAAGAUUUACCAAACUCCUUCAUAUCUUCAAUGGUGCUUUCUCUGGUAAGCAAAGAAAUUCAGCGACUGCAACAACAACAUAACUGAGUAACGAUCCAUUCAAGCGGGGUAUACAAAAGCAUUCUCUCAAUCAAAUUAAUGAUAGGAGAGAUUUUCAUUCAUUGUACUUACACCGAGCUUUUAAACAGACGUUUGUAUCACUGUUCUUUUCCUCAAAAAUUCUGUGGUAUCAGUUUUGAUGAAGGAUGUUUGUAGUUCUCGCCACCUGAAAUAUAUAUAUGAACGUUAGUGUAUAAUCAACAAAAUUCUUGUUAACAAUAAGUUGCAGAGAUCACUCCACUGUCAUCCUUAGUUCGAGCUUAGCCUAGAGAUUCCUCCUUUAAAUCACAGUUUGCUUCGAAGUCUUCAAACAAAUGCAACCUCCUUGUGCUUCCAAUGCUGAUGCAAAAUUUUCAUUACACCAUCAAAGACUCCUCUUCUACCUAAAUAAUGAAACAGAUACAUAUUGAAUAUUGUGUAAACCAAUCUGGUAACCUUUCGAAAAGGAAUAAGAAGAAGCGAAGAACAGAUUUGGAGGCUGUUACCAAGAACCAAUCUGCUGUACAUAUUCAGUCAGAUUCUUCUCAAGCAUUCUCUCUCUUCAUGAGUCAGUAUCUCAAUGUCAUCGUCGUGCUCAGAUGGUUUCCAUACUGAAUUAAAUUUAAACAACUCUAGUGUUGAUUUCAGCUGCUAUAAAAGAGGAGCAACCCAUCGAAGUAAUACUCCAUCUGCAUAGUCCAUUCCACAAACACAUGUAUUUUUGGCCCUGAAUUAAGUUUCGCACCUUUCAAAAGAGAAGAAUUUGCUAAAUAUUAAACGAACAUAAACACAAAACAAAAAAAAUCAGACAACAACAAACCUCUUCAAAACCUCCCUCUCUCUGUUUGUCUCUAGGACAACCUUACUGCAUUGAUCUCAGCGUGUGCGUCCGUAACUCUAGAUCUUUAUAUGCAUUCCAAUAGAGACGAACAUUAAUUAAUUAAGCAAACACAACCAACCAAAAAGAAGCAAAAUAAUUUAAAUCAAAUCGCCACAUAAUAAUGUGCAUAAUUAAACUGUAUUCGACGACAAAACCUAAACCUUAGCAGAGAUCACCUCUGAGAACACAACUCGUUUCAAAAUUUUUGGAUGAAUGGAACCUGAUCUGUUGAACUAAAUCGCUAAACUUUGUUCGUGAAGCUCGGAAAGGACUCUGAAAGUGUCAUCUUUUGAGAUAAGAGGUAAAAGAGGCUGAGAUCCACGCUUCAGAAAACAUUUAUACCGGCUUACUCGAGCUAUGCACCUUGUAUCACAGAUUCAUUUUGAGGUGUAGAAUAGGUUAGAUUAUACAAAAAAAAAUUAUGAAAUUCAGGGGUUUAGCAUAUCAGCUCAUACCUUUCGCCGAUAAAUAACAGAUCAAGUCCUAUGAGGAUCCCGCUUUGUGCAUGAUUCAGGGCUGUAGAUGGAGCUACACGCUUGAGGGAGCCGUCAUAGAGACCAACUCCUUGUUUCUUAGUUGGAGUGGAUUUCGCUGGAUUAUUAGCCAUCGAUGUGGUGGUCGAUAUCGCCGGAGUUCGGUUCUAGCCGAAGCUUUGGAGCUGCAAACAGUUUAUCAUCCAUAGCCAUAGCUUGAUUUUCAUGGCCAUAGCUUGAUAUUCUUGUAUAGAGGUUCUACGAUGUGGUUUGAUUUAAGUAUCGAUAAAGGGUUAUAUAAGAUGGAAAACAAAGGGAGGUGAAGGAAAAGAUCUCAUGAAGAUAAGAGUCAAAGAAAUGAAUUGAAUGUGUUAUCAAAACUCUGAAACGGAGAUUCAUAGAAAUCGGAAACGAUGGUGGUGGAGCGGAAAAGUUGCGUCGUUUGCUAUGAGCGCGAGAUGGGCAGUGUUAUAAUGGGCCACUUUGAUUUGUUAUAAGCCCAGCAAAUAAUGAUGUGCGAGAUAAAUUAAAUUGACGUGGCAGUAUAGUACUCCCUCAUUCGUUGAUUUUAUUUGCUGAGGUGGACACCCUCUCCUUUGAGUAUAUUCUCCUUUUAUUACUUGUUUGAUGUUUGUUCAUUAAAUAGUUUUAACAUUUUGCGACACUACCAUUUUUAUCGAUUGUAAAUGACGAAUACAAAUGUUGGUCUAUUAAAUAUAUCAUCGUUGUUGAAGAGUUAACGUAUUAUAGCUCAUUUAAUUAUUUUUAAGACUUCAUAUAUACAAAAAGAAAAUAAGUUUUACGGGUGACACAAAUUACCAAAACCAGUUAGGCAACAUUGAUUGUAAAAUGAGAAAAUAAAAUUAGGUUUUCUUCUCUCGAUUUGUUUACUAUUGACUUUGCAUAAGUGAUUUCAUUUUCUAUCCCUAUAACAUUGUGCUUUCGUUCUCGUUUCUUUUUACUAAUAAAAAUUUUGUCUCUUUUUUUUGUACUUUUUCUGUGAAUUCGGUGAAUUACAUAAAUGUCAAUUUAAAAAUAUGGACAUCUGUAAAAAUUAGUUCCACUCUAGAUACAUAUGUAAGAAUCAUUGACCAAAAGUUUAAAACUCGUUUUUUAAAAGAAAAAUCAUGAUGCAUAAAAAAUAUUUAUAUUGAUAAACACAACAUAUUUUAUUCGAGGACAUGUUAAAAUAUUAUAUU